rnacentral:rRNA from 1 species
UACGUAGGCAGCAAGCGUUGUUCGGAAUUACUGGGCGUAAAGAGCGUGUAGGCGGCCUUUUAAGUCCUGCGUGAAAUCCUGCGGCUCAACCGCAGACGGUCGUGGGAAACUGGAAGGCUAGAGUGCGGGAGAGGAGAGUGGAAUUCCCGUGGUAGCGAUGGAAUGACGCAGAUAUCGGAAGAAGACACCCGUGGCGAAGGCGGCUCUCUGGAACGCAACUGACGCUGAGACGCGAAAGCGUGGGGAGCAAACAGG